GAAGAAUUUACAGAUGACUACGAAAUCCCAUCAUCAGAUGCAUAUAUAGAAUUUGUUGAAAAUUUCAAAAAAAUAGUGGUGCCCAUUUAUAAAAACAAAAUAGAAAAUUUUUUGCGUGUGGACAACAUAAUUCUAAGUGCUGGUGGACCAUUACAACAACAUAGUCAAAGAAGAAGAAGAAGCUUGCCUUUGAAGGAAACUAAAAGUCUUUGUUGUUAAUAAUGCCACUGCAUCAAAGACUGAUCUCAUUGUCAAAGAGGUGUGUGCCAAGGCUACGAACAUUUUUCCUGAAGAUUUCCAAAAGUAUUUUGAAGCAGUUACGCUGGGUGGCAAAGUGACAUGUGUGACUCCAUGCGAUGCAGCUCAUAGUGAU